GACUUUCUCUUUAAAUCAUUUCUUAAGCUCGUACUGGACUUUGAGAGAGAAUGGUUUCACAAGAUUUUAGUCUGAUAUAUUGAACCUGUAAGACAAGCACACUCAUUUACCCAGGAAAUUAAUUGGUCUCCAUUUCAGUGUUACUAAUUUAGCUAUUGAUCAUGGAUUAAAUCCUUACAUUAUUUUGAUUUAUCCUAUUGCAGGAUGAUGAUGAGAACAUCUUGGGUGGCAACAAAGUUCCAGCUGAAUUCAUUCUAGAUUAGUGGCUUGUCAUAAACAAAUGGCCCUAGAGUGUAUAAUGCAAUGUGGCUACCUCUCCCUGAAAUGGCAUUCAAAGAUGAGUUGUCCUACUUCGGAUGCAUAUUACUUCUAAAAGCGAGCAGUGGUAGUUGCAAUUGCAAGAUGAUGGCUACCGAAUCUAUUUGGGGGUUUCUUUUUCGGCUCUCUACAGGAUCCUCGGGCGCAGCCAUACCGCACAAGGAGGCUCAGCCAAAAAAGUUAAUUGAUAUAUUUAUUUAUGGAUAUAGUAAAUGUGCCAUUAGCAUUGUUUAACUAAAUAAAAGACAAAAAUUUAUAUUCAGUUUGGUUCUUUUUGGAUUGACCAUGGCCAGUAGAAUCAUUUGC